GCACGCCGCGUGAGUGAUGAAGGUUUUCGGAUCGUAAAGCUCUGUUGUUAGGGAAGAACAAGUACCGUUCGAAUAGGGCGGUGCCUUGACGGUACCUAACCAGAAAGCCACGGCUAACUACGUGCCAGCAGCCGCGGUAAUACGUAGGUGGCAAGCGUUGUCCGGAAUUAUUGGGCGUAAAGGGCUCGCAGGCGGUUUCUUAAGUCUGAUGUGAAAGCCCCCGGCUCAACCGGGGAGGGUCAUUGGAAACUGGGGAACUUGAGUGCAGAAGAGGAGAGUGGAAUUCCACGUGUAGCGGUGAAAUGCGUAGAGAUGUGGAGGAACACCAGUGGCGAAGGCGACUCUCUGGUCUGUAACUGACGCUGAGGAGCGAAAGCGUGGGGAGCGAACAGGAUUAGAUACCCUGGUAGUCCACGCCGUAAACGAUGAGUGCUAAGUGUUAGGGGGUUUCCGCCCCUUAGUGCUGCAGCUAACGCAUUAAGCACUCCC
rnacentral:rRNA from 1 species